UACGGAGGAUCCGAGCGUUAUCCGGAUUUAUUGGGUUUAAAGGGUGCGUAGGCGGCCGAGUAAGUCAGCGGUGAAAGUUUGCAGCUUAACUGUAAAAUUGCCGUUGAAACUGCCGGUCUUGAGUGCAAAUGAGGUAGGCGGAAUGCGUCGUGUAGCGGUGAAAUGCUUAGAUAUGACGCAGAACUCCGAUUGCGAAGGCAGCUUACUGGGAUGCAACUGACGCUGAAGCACGAAAGCGUGGGUAUCAAACAGGAUUAGAUACCCCGGUA
rnacentral:rRNA from 1 species